rnacentral:piRNA from 2 species
GCAGCUCCCUCGCUGCGAUCUAUUG